CCAAGGAGUCUAACAUAUUUGCAAUUUAUUGGGUUCUUUAAAAACCUAAUAGCGAAAUUAACAUGACAAAAUUAAUAUGGGAUUAGUUAUUAGUUCUAAUCAUACUUAGACUAUUAAUUCAAUCCCGGGGCGUUCUAUACAGUUAUGUAUAAUAAUAUGUAUAUUAUUUAUACAUCUGACUAGAACGUACCUAGACUGCUUGCUGUAACCCGAAAGAUGGUGAACUAUACUUGAUCAGGUUGAAGUCAGGGGAAACCCUGAUGGAAGACCGAAACAGUUCUGACGUGCAAAUCGAUUGUCAGAAUUGAGUAUAGGGGCGAAAUAGCAAUCGAAUCGUCUAGUAGCUGGUUCCCUUCGAAGUUUCCCUCAGGCUGGUGCAUUUAGAAUUUAUGUAAAAUAAUCUUAUCUGGUGAAGCGAAUGAUUGGAGACCUUAGGGUCGAAACGAUCUUAACCUAUUGUCAAACUUUAAAUAGGUAAGAACGGGACUUUUCUUGGUGUGAAGGCUGUGGUUGUGUGUGCCCAGAAAGCCGCUUUUACUAAGCAGAACUGGACGUCCCAAACGUAGUGUUAUGGUGGCUAAAUGCAGAUACCAUGAAAGGCGUUGGUUGCUUAAAACAGCAGGACGGUGGACAUGGAAGUCGCAAUCCGCUAAGCAGUGUGUGAAAACUCACCUGCCGAAGCAACUGGCCUUUAAAAUGGAUGGCACUUAAGUUGUACACCAAUACAUUAUCGCUAAUAUAAAUGGUUGAAAUUCAAUUUUUUUUUUAAAUUUUAGUCAGUAGAAAGGUACAAUGGUGAGUGAAGAGGUGUUUGGCGCAUGGAGCCGCCAUUGGUACAGAUCUUAG
rnacentral:ncRNA from 1 species